rnacentral:rRNA from 1 species
GAUGAACGCUGGCGGCGUGCCAAUACAUGCAAGUCGAGCGAACAGAUGAGGAGCUUGCUCCUCUGACGUUAGCGGCGGACGGGUGAGUAACACGUGGAUAACCUACCUAUAAGACUGGGAUAACUUCGGGAAACCGGAGCUAAUACCGGAUAAUAUAUUGAACCGCAUGGUUCAAUAGUGAAAGACGGUUUUGCUGUCACUUAUAGAUGGAUCCGCGCCGCAUUAGCUAGUUGGUAAGGUAACGGCUUACCAAGGCAACGAUGCGUAGCCGACCUGAGAGGGUGAUCGGCCACACUGGAACUGAGACACGGUCCAGACUCCUACGGGAGGCAGCAGUAGGGAAUCUUCCGCAAUGGGCGAAAGCCUGACGGAGCAACGCCGCGUGAGUGAUGAAGGUCUUCGGAUCGUAAAACUCUGUUAUUAGGGAAGAACAAAUGUGUAAGUAACUAUGCACGUCUUGACGGUACCUAAUCAGAAAGCCACGGCUAACUACGUG